rnacentral:rRNA from 1 species
AGUGAACGCUGGCGGUAGGCCUAACACAUGCAAGUCGAACGGCAGCACAGGAGAGCUUGCUCUCUGGGUGGCGAGUGGCGGACGGGUGAGGAAUGCAUCGGAAUCUACUCUUUCGUGGGGGAUAACGUAGGGAAACUUACGCUAAUACCGCAUACGACCUACGGGUGAAAGCCGGGGACCUUCGGGCCUGGCGCGAAAGAAUGAGCCGAUGCCCGAUUAGCUAGUUGGCGGGGUAAGAGCCCACCAAGGCGACGAUCGGUAGCUGGUCUGAGAGGAUGAUCAGCCACACUGGAACUGAGACACGGUCCAGACUCCUACGGGAGGCAGCAGUGGGGAAUAUUGGACAAUGGGCGCAAGCCUGAUCCAGCCAUACCGCGUGGGUGAAGAAGGCCUUCGGGUUGUAAAGCCCUUUUGUUGGGAAAGAAAAGCAGUCGGUUAAUACCCGAUGUUCUGACGUACCCAAG